GGUGCCUUCGGGAACUUAGAUACAGGUGCUGCAUGGCUGUCGUCAGCUCGUGUCGUGAGAUGUUGGGUUAAGUCCCGCAACGAGCGCAACCCUUUUCCUUAUUUGCCAGCGGGUCAUGCCGGGAACUUUAAGGAUACUGCCAGUGACAAACUGGAGGAAGGCGGGGACGACGUCAAGUCAUCAUGGCCCUUACGGCCAGGGCUACACACGUGCUACAAUGGUCGGUACAAAGGGUUGCUACCUCGCGAGAGGAUGCUAAUCUCAAAAAGCCGAUCGUAGUCCGGAUCGCAGUCUGCAACUCGACUGCGUGAAGUCGGAAUCGCUAGUAAUCGCGGAUCAGAAUGCCGCGGUGAAUACGUUCCCGGGCCUUGUACACACCGCCCGUCACACCAUGGGAGUUUGUUGCACCAGAAGUAGGUAGUCUAACCGCAAGGAGGACGCUUACCACGGUGUGGCCGAUGACUGGGGUGAAGUCGUAACAAGGUAAGCGUAGAUGA
rnacentral:rRNA from 1 species